AUUGAACGCUGGCGGCAUGCCUUACACAUGCAAGUCGAACGGCAGCGGGCCCUUCGGGGUGCCGGCGAGUGGCGAACGGGUGAGUAAUGCAUCGGAACGUACCCGGGAGAGGGGGAUAACCGGCCGAAAGGCUGGCUAAUACCGCAUGAACUCGGAAGAGCAAAGCGGGGGACCUUCGGGCCUCGCGCUCUCGGAGCGGCCGAGGUCCGAUUAGGCUAGUUGGUGGGGUAAAGGCCCACCAAGGCGACGAUCGGUAACGGGUCUGCGAGGACGAUCCGCCACACUGGGAAUGAGACACGGCCCAGACUCCUAAGGGAGGCAGCAGUGGGGAAUCUUGGACAAUGGGGGCAAGCCUGAUCCAGAAAUGCCGCGUGGGUGAAGAAGGCGUUCGGGUUGUAAAGCCCUUUCGGCGGGGAAGAAAUCGGUCAGGCGAAUAGUCUGGGCGGAUGACGGUACCCGCAGAAGAAGCACCGGCUAACUACGUG
rnacentral:rRNA from 1 species